rnacentral:rRNA from 1 species
GACGAACGCUGGCGGCGUGCCUAAUACAUGCAAGUCGAACGCAGUGGGGACGGGUGAGUAACACGUGGGUAACCUCCCAUCAGAGGGGAUCACCCUUGGAAACAGGUGCUAAACCGAUACUGAUGGAUGGACCCGCGGUGCGUUAGCUAGUUGGUGAGGUAACGGCGCACCAAGGCCACGAUGCAUCGCGGACCGGAGAGGGUGAUGGGCGAAACUGGGAGGGGGACACGGGCCAGACUCCUACGGGAGGCAGCAGUGGGGAAUCUUCGGCAAUGGAGGAAAGUCUGACCGAGCAACGCCGCGUGGGUGAAGAAGGUUUUCGGAUCGUAAAACUCUGUUGUGAGAGAAGCGGUAUCUAACCAGAAAGCCACGGCUAACUACGUGCCAGCAGCCGCGGUAAUAC